UACGAAGGGGGCGAGCGUUGUUCGGAAUUACUGGGCGUAAAGCGUGCGCAGGCGGUUCGUUAAGUCAGCUGUGAAAGCCCCGGGCUUAACCUGGGAAUGGCGGUUGAAACUGGCGAACUUGAAUCUGGCAGAGGGGGGUGGAAUUCCACGUGUAGCAGUGAAAUGCGUAGAGAUGUGGAGGAACACCGAUGGCGAAGGCAGCCCCCUGGGCUGAGAUUGACGCUCAGGCACGAAAGCGUGGGGAGCAAACAGG
rnacentral:rRNA from 1 species